AACGAAGGUGCGUGCUCAGCGGACUCUGCAGACCCAGUGCCGCGACUUCCCCUAAAGCCAGGCGUGUAUCUGCGCGUGUGAGGUGCUCUGCCGCAACCCUAUGCAGAGAGCAGGGUCUCACUCUGUUACCCAGGCUGGAGUGCAGUGGAGUGAUUAUAGCUUACUGCAGCCUUGACCUUCUGGGCUCAAGAGAUCCUCCCACCAUCACGAGGUCAGGAGAUCGAGACCAUCUUGGCUAAGAAGCUCGACUCCGCGCUCUCCUCGCCGGCCGCCGCCGCCCAGCCUGCGCCCGCCGUCCCCCCAGUGCCUGGGCACCUGUUGGAGGCAGAGCCCUCCUUGGGGCCACCACGCCUGAGGAUGGUGCGGAGGUGGACAGCUAUGACUCGGAUGAUGCCACCGCCCUAGGCACGCUGGAGUUUGACCUUCUCUACGACCGGGCCUCCUGCACUCUGCACUGUAGCAUCCUCAGGGCCAAGGGCCUCAAGCCCAUGGAUUUCAAUGGCCUCGCCGACCCCUACGUCAAGCUG
rnacentral:lncRNA from 10 species